rnacentral:lncRNA from 1 species
AAAAAAAUAUAUUUGAGGAUGAGAUUUAAGCAUCGAUACAGGCUCUAAAAAGCAUCGAAAAAGACUUUUUUUUCUAGUGUUUGAAAUAUCAUUGUCACGCCUCCGAUCCGAAAUCACGAGCGGGGGGUUACGGCAACCGCCGCACACUUAUAGAGAACUCUCUCCACGAGCAUUCAGGCAUCUCAUCAUGAUAUCAAAAUCAGGUAGCACAAAUAACUUAAAUAAUAACAUUCAAAUUCUAUUUAAAUAGUAAAAUUAAAAGUCUUACAAAACUAAUAGUAUUCUAAAAUUUUGCAUCAACUCUAAAAUAAAAUAUAGUCUAAAUAAAGAUGUCAAAAUUUUGUCUCUAAUCGCUCUCUCAUAAUAAAUCUCUAAGUCGAGCUAAUUCUUCAGAUCUGUAAAUACAGUAAGAAAUUGUAUAAUGAGCUAGAUAGCCCAGCAAGCAAUGAAUACUUUAGCUAGAUAAAUCAAACAAUAAAAUAAUAAUAAGAUACUAAAAAUAAACAUGCAAAAUAUAUCGAUUCAAAGCCAAAUUGAUAUGAUAUUCAAUCACUUCAAAUUUCAAUUCUUGUUUCAUAAAUUAAUUAUCUUUCAAAUCAUCAAGUUCAUCUUGACAAUCAUUAGCUAUGACCAUAUUUAUACCUUAUGGCUGGGUUAGAAUAUGAGCUCAUUAAAGUGCCAAUGUAUAACUUCCACUGAUAAGAUAUCGAUAUGCUAAUGUAUAACCUCCACCGGUAUAAUUUUGAUAUACUAGCGAAUAAUCCCUACUAGCAGGAUGUCGAUAUGCCAACAUAAAAUCUCCACUAGCAGGAUAUCGAUAUACCAGCGAAUAAUCUCCACUAGCAAUAUGUCGAUAUGCCAGCAAAUAACUCCACUAGCAGGGUAUCGAUAUGCCAAUGUAUAAUCCCCACUGGUAGAGUAUCGAUAGAUCAAUGAAUAAUCUCCACUAGUAGCGUAUCGAUAUACCAGUGAAUAAUUCCUACUAGCAUGGUGUUGAUAUACAAGUGAAUAACCUUCACUGACAGGGUGUCAAUAUACCAGUAAAUAACCACCUUGGAAGGGUAUCGAUACAUAAUCUGGCCAUGGGUCCAAAUCCAUUUCAAAACAAAAAAUUGUUUUCACAUUUUCAGUAUUCCAAAUUGUAAGAUACAUAAAUUCAUACAACAUCAAAAUCAAUCGAACAUAAUCCAUAUUAAAAUCAAUAUGUUUAAUUAAGAAUCAUACAAUAUUCUAAAAAGGGGCACAUAUAAUAAUAAAAUACUAUACAUCAACUUCAUAAAUCAAAAAUAAUUUGAUUAAGAAAAUAUACUUUGCCGAUAGAUCUAGAAAAAGAGUUAUAUUACUUACCUUGCAAACAAAUCUAAAAUAUCAGUUCAAUCAGUUUCAAAAAUUCUUCUAGGAUUCUAGUAUUUAAAAAUUAUUGAAAUUUACCAUGAUCAUUCCAAAAAUAGAAAUCCUAAUUUCAAUACUCUCAUAAGGCUAAAGCGGGAGUGCCUGAUACCACGUUGGUCUAAUCAAAGCAAAACUCAUCUAAUUAUACUAAAACUAGAAUACGGAUGGUUCAAUAAAGAUCGAAGGUGACCACAUCUAAUAGUAUCUAAGAA